rnacentral:rRNA from 1 species
UACGUAGGGGGCAAGCGUUGUCCGGAUUUAUUGGGCGUAAAGAGCGUGUAGGCGGUCCGGUAAGUCCGCUGUGAAAGUCGGGGGCUCAACCCUCGAAUGCCGGUGGAUACUGUCGGGCUAGAGUGCGGAAGAGGCGAGUGGAAUUCCUGGUGAUAGGCGGUGAAAUGCGCAGAUAUCAGGAGGAACACCUAGUUGCGAAGGCAGCUCGCUGGGACGUAACUGACGCUGAGACGCGAAAGCGUGGGGAGCAAAC